AGGGGGAGGAGGCCGGCGAGAAGUAGUGGAGUUUAGGGCUCGUUUCCUGCACUUCCCCAGGAGGCUGGAGCCAGGUACGGCAGAGCGCGCUCCCGCGGCGCGGGCAAGGUAGGGGCGACCGCCGGAACCGGAGUCCGCUCAGUGCCGGGGCCCGCAGCUGAUCUGCGGGAGGAGGAUACAGCCUGAAGGACAAAGCUGUUGAGUUCUAGAAAGAGAUAACUCAAAUGUAAGUAAACUUAUUUACCAACUACUCCAACGAAAUCAUAAGCUCAGCAGCAGCAACAAAAUGUAUAUUGUUUAAUAUAUUGAGCAGGAGGAAAGAUGGCUGUUUGCCAGAUCUGUGAUCCAUUAACCUCUUUAGCUCAUUGUUGGCAACAAUAGCAUACAAUCACAGUCUUAUGUUGGAAAGACAAGGGAUUGUUUUUUCCCAUUUCAAAAUCACAAUGCCACAUUAUAGUCUAAAAGAAACCUCAAACAAUAAAAGUAAUAAGAAAGGAAGAAACACAAUUUGCUUUUUUCUGAACAAAUGUUGCUGUUCUGUUUUUCUUGAGGGGAAAAAUGCUGAUAAGCAAUAAAGUCUACAAAGGCAUGACAGUAGAUUUUGAAGAAUGCAUUGCUCCAUCAGUCUUUUCAAUUAGUCAACUCUAUUUAAAAUGUUUAUUUAUGUUAUCUUUUUUUUUUUAUUGGUAUUGAGUCUUUCUUUUGUGCAGGGAAGAUUACUGAGGAGGAGAUCAGAUGAAUCUAGUUUCUCAUAAUUCUGUCUUGCUUCAGGUUUAUGUCUGGCAGGAGAGGAACAAUCAGUGGCCUUUGCUUUCUCAGCAAAUCCUAACUUCUCCUCAGAGGACCUUUAGCUCUGUAGUUGAUGGACUAAAAGAUUGUCACAGUGAUUUUGCCUAGCUUGUACAAGAUCACACCUGGGGCUAGGAGCAGGUGCAACUGCAGAAACCGAAGCAGACUUUUGGAAAGGUUUCUACCUAGCUUCGGGUUUGAGGUAGAUGUGUGGUGCUUGCUCUUCAGCUCUUCAAAUAAUCUGGCCUUCUUGCUAGGAAAAGUUCAGAGGUGGGUGAGUGGAUCCUACAUUUUUAGUAGGAACAUUUCAGUAGUGUGGGAAAUUAAACAAAUAAAACUAAACAGCAGAUGAAGGGGCAUAGCCAAAAAAAUCUUUUUAAAGUGUGGUUUUGAACACGGUCACAGGUUCAUUGGUUUGGUUUAGUCACCAAAGCCAAAUAAAGUGUGCAGUGAUGAAACAUUUGGUUAAUUGGAGUGUUCAUUUGGUAAAGAAUUUUUUUUCCCCUGACAUCAUCACAGUCUCUUGUCCCAUAAAAAUGCACCCAUUAAAUAUUGUUCAGUUUGCAGUUUCACAUGGAAGCUUUCCUCUUAGUAAAUUAUGGAAUUGUUGGUCAUUAUUAGGAAAUAGAGGGUAUCUGAUUUGUUUCUCAACAUUUUUGUGUAUUUAACCAGUCAAUUGCUGACAUCUAGAUUCAGUUGGUUAAGUAAACAUUUAUUGAAAGGAACUCUUGGAGUCCUGUCAUGGCUCAGUGGAAAUGAAUCUGACUAGCAUCCAUGAGGAUGCAGGUUCGAUCCCUGGCCUUACUUGGUGGGUUAACGAUCCAGAGUUGCCCUGAGCUGUGGUGUAGGUCACAGGUGCGACUGGGAUCCAGUGUUGCUAUGGCGUAGGCCAGAGGCUACAGCUCCAAUUCAACCCCUAGCCUCCAUAUGCCUCAGGUGCGGCCCUGAAAAAAAUAAAUAAUAAAGGAACUCUUUUGUGCCAACCACUGGAAAUCAAAAGAUGAGUAAAAGGCUUCUAAAAGAAGCCUUUGCUCUCAUCCUCUGUGUUCAGUAAUCACUAGGGUUAUCAAGUAUAGAUCUGUUUCAUCAAGAGUCCUUCUCUUUUGCAGAAAUGAACCUCUGAGCCCCUAUCUCCGUGUCCCAUCACUGUAUUUGAUUGUCUCUUAUGUGAAAGUUCUGGUUUUGUACUGUGCUAUGCUAUUUAGCAGUCAGAGGCCUAAAGCUAUAAAGUCAUACCUGAUGAUAAGGGAAAUAUUUUCUUAUGGAAGAGGCAGGUCCACAGAUCUGAUGUCAGAAACGAUGAGUAUGUCAAGAGGAUUUAACCCCUCUCUAGGUCCAGAUCAGUGCUAGCUAAUAGAAAUGUCUAGCAAGGCACAAAUGUGAGCCACCUGUGCAAUUUUAUGUAUUCUGUAGCUCACUUUAAAAGUAAAACAAAGCAGGUGAAAUUUAAUAAUACAUUUUAACCAUAUGAUCAAUACACAAUUAUUAAUAAAGUAUUUUACAUUAUUUUUUUUUCAUACUGUGAUGGGCAGGAUGGUUCCCAUACCCUAAUCCGUGGAACUUAUAAAUGUGUUACAUUACAUGGCAAAGUGGGCUUCGUAAUUAAAUUUAUAGACUUGUAAAAUAGGGAGAUUAUCAUGGAUUGUCUUGAGUGGGUCCAGCCUAAUCACAUGAGUUCUUAAAAGCCAAACAUUUGCUCAGGCAAGAAGCAGAAGAAAUAUGACACAAAGAGAAGUCAGAUUCAAAGCAUGAGAAGGACUUAACAUGCUUGAAGAUGGAAGGGUCAGUGGGACAAGGAAUGCAGGUGACUUUCAGGAGCUCCGUGAGCUUCUGGAUGACAUCUGGGAAGAAAAUAAGACCACUGCCCUAUACUCAUGAGGAGCUGUGAGCAACUUAAUUCAGCCAACAGUCUGAGUGAUCUUGGAAGCAGAUUCUUCCAUCCAGCCCCCAGAGAAGAAUGCAAUGCUAAUGACACCUUGCUUUUGUCCUUAUGAAACUCUAAGCAGAGGACUCAAGUGAACCAACUGUACUGGGACUUCUGGACAACAGAAUGGUGUGAUAAUCAAUUAAUGUUUUAAACCACUAAAUUUAUGGUAUUUUUAAAUAGCAGCAAUGAAAAACUCAUACAUGUACUGAGUCUUGAAAUCUAGUAUAAAUUGUCUACUUACAGGCCAUCUCAAUUUGGACUGUCCACAUCUGAGAUAUUCAAUAGCCACAUGCAACCAAUGGUGAUAAUAUUGGAUAAGGAAACUCCAGACCAAGAGGAGUAAGAUGUCUAGAAAGUGUUAGGUCCAUAGGCUAAAUAAAAUGUAACCAUGUGGAGAGAGAAGAGGUGCAAGGAAGGGAGGAAACUGGCAGGGUCUCUCUUGAUUCUCUACCCUUGAGCCAUGUGAAGGGGGUAAUCUUGCUCAUACAGAACACAGGUUAAGUCUUACAAGUUAGUCUGUCAAAAUUCACUGAAUUCAUAUAUAUAUAUAAAAAAACCAUGGGGCUAUUAAUGAAGUCUUUUUCAAUAUUCCAUUUUUGUUUCAGUUAAGUUUUAGAGCAAUCAAGAGAAGAGUUGUUGCUUCCACUUGACUUCAUACUUAAGGUAGAGCAUCAUUUCGUUCCAGUCUUAUGGGGUGGGGGACAGUAGGCAAGGGUAACUGUGAAAGGUCUCUAGGAAAGGAAGAAUUAUGUAAAUUGAUUUAGCUGUUCCUCCCAACCAGAGAAACUGUUUUCAAUAUCAGUCUCCUGAAGUCUAAGUUUUACUGUCAUUAAGAGAGGCGUCAUGUUUUACAAUUCAAUUAGAAUUGUAAGUAGCCUUCCUUGUCUAGCUUUUCUUUUGCCAUCUUCCCUAUUAGGUACAAAAGUAAGCUGUUACCCUAUAAAAUACAGAGCAGGAACUAACUUCUGUAACCUAUGACCAUUUUAGGAAAGUUUUGCCAAAAAGAUGUAGACUUACACUUAUGCUGGGUUUAAAGAAAAAAAAAACAAAAAUGGAAGCCUAGACCAGCAGAGAGUAAAGGGAGGGCUUUCCAGGCUGGAAGGAGAGGUGAGGGGGCUAACAAUGUAAAGACAAGAAAGUGAAUAAGGGGAUGAUUGACUAUAGCGAAAAGCUUUUGUAAGGAAAACUCUAGCUGAUGUAAAAGAUGGAAAGGUUGGGAUUUCCCAUCUUGGCGCAGGAGAAAGGAAUCCGACCAUGAACGAUGAGGUUGCGGGUUCCAUCCUGGCCUUGCUCAGUGGGUUAAGGAUCCAGCAUUGCUGUGAGCUGUGGUGUAGGUCUCAGACACGGCUUGGAUCCUGCAUUGCUGUGGCUGUGAUGUAGGCUGGCAGCAAUAGCUCCAAUUAGACCCCUAGCCUGGGAAACCUCCAUAUGCCACUAGCGUGGCCCUAAAAUGACAAAAGACAAAAAAAAAAAAAAAAAAAA
rnacentral:lncRNA from 1 species